CCUACGGGAGGCAGCAGUGAGGAAUAUUGGUCAAUGGACGCGAGUCUGAACCAGCCAAGCAGCGUGAAGGAUGACUGCCCUAUGAGUUGUAAACUGCUUUUAUAUGAGAAUAAACUGAGACACGCGUAUCUGUCUGUAAGUACCUUAUGAAUAAGGAUCGGCUAACUCCGUGCCAGCAGCCGCGGUAAUACGGAGGAUCCGAGCGUUAUCCGGAUUUAUUGGGUUUAAAGGGAGCGUAGGUGGUUGGUUAAGUCAGUUGUGAAAGUUUGCGGCUCAACCGUAAAAUUGCAUUUGAUACUGGCCGUCUUGAGUAUAGUAGAGGUAGGCGGAAUUCGUGGUGUAGCGGUGAAAUGCUUAGAGAUCACAAAGAACACCGAUUGCGAAGGCAGCUUACUAAACUACUACUGACAUUGAGGCACGAAAGUGUGGGGAGCAAACAGGAUUAGAUACCCCAGUAGUC
rnacentral:rRNA from 1 species